CACUCCUGCGGGAGGCAGCAGUGGGGAAUUUUACGCAAUGGGGGAAACCCUGACGUAGCGACACCGCGUGAGCGAAGAAGCCCUUUGGGGUGUAAAGCUCUGUCAGCUGGAACGAAAACAAUGACGGUACCAGCAGAGGAAGCAUCGGCUAACUACGUGCCAGCAGCCGCGGUAAGACGUAGGAUGCGAGCGUUGUCCGGAUUUAUUGGGCGUAAAGAGUUCGUAGGUGGUUUGUUAAGUUUGGUGUUAAAGAUCGGGGCUCAACCCUGGGACUGCACUGAAUACUGGCAGACUCGAGUGUGGUAGAGGCUAGUGGAAUUCCCAGUGUAGCGGUGAAAUGCGUAGAUAUUGGGAAGAACACCGGUGGCGUAGGCGACUAGCUGGGCCAUAACUGACGCUGAGGAACGAAAGCCAGGGGAGCGAAUGGGAUUAGAAACCCCGGUAGUCCCAUGAU
rnacentral:rRNA from 1 species